rnacentral:rRNA from 1 species
UGGGGAAUUGUUCGCAAUGGGCGCAAGCCUGACGACGCAACGCCGCGUGGAGGAUGAAGAUCUUCGGGUCGUAAACUCCUGUCGAAUGGGACGAACGGAUCGCGUGUGAACAACACGUGGUCGUGACGGUACCGUUAAAGGAAACCCCGGCUAACCCCGUGCCAGCAGCCGCGGUAAUACGGGGGGGGUAAGCGUUGUUCGGAAUUACUGGGCGUAAAGGGCUCGUAGGCGGCCAACUAAGUCAGACGUGAAAUCCCUCAGCUUAACUGGGGAACUGCGUCUGAUACUGGAUGGCUUGGAUCCGGAAGAGGGAUGCGGAAUUCCAGGUGUAGCGGUGAAAUGCGUAGAUAUCUGGAGAACACCGGUGGCGAAGGCGCAUCCUGGGCCGGUAUUGACGCUGAGGAGCGAAAAGCCAGGGGAGCAAAACGGGAUUAGAUACCCCGGUAGUCCUGGCCCUAAACGAUGAAUGCUUGGUGUAGCGGGUAUCGAUCCCUGCUGUGCCGAAGCU